GACGAACGCUGGCGGCGUGCUUAACACAUGCAAGUCGAACGGUGACCUCGAGAGCUUGCUCUCGGGCGAUCAGUCGCGAACGGGUGAGUUACACGUGUGUAACCUGCCCCAGACUCUGGAAUAACCCCGAGAAACCGGAGCUAAUACCGGAUACGAGACGGAGUCGCAUGGCUACCGUCCGGAAGGUUUUUCGGGCUGGGAUGGGCUCGCGGCCUAUCAGCUAGUUGGUGAGGUAACGGCUCACCAAGGCGACGACGGGUAGCCGGCCUGGGAGGGCGACAGGCCACACUGGGACUGAGACACGGCCCAGACUCCUACGGGAGGCAGCAGUGGGGAAUAUUGCACAAUGGGCGAAAGCCUGAUGCAGCGACGCCGCGUGAGGGAUGACGGCCUUCGGGUUGUAAACCUCUUUCAGCAGGGAAGAAGCGAAAGUGACGGUACCUGCAGAAGAAGCACCGGCUAACUACGUGCCAGCAGCCGCGGUAAGAC
rnacentral:rRNA from 1 species